rnacentral:rRNA from 1 species
UACGGAGGGUGCGAGCGUUGUUCGGAAUCACUGGGCGUAAAGCGCGUGUAGGCGGCCCACUAAGUCUGAUGUGAAAGCCCGGGGCUCACCCCCGGAAGUGCAUUGGAAACUGGUGGACUCGAGUCCCGGAGAGGAGAGUGGAAUUCCUGGUGUAGCGGGGAAAUGCGUAGAUAUCAGGAGGAACACCGGUGGCGAAGGCGGCUCUCUGGACGGUGACUGACGCUGAGACGCGAAAGCGUGGGGAGCAAACAGG